ensembl:lncRNA
AAUAAAUAAAUAUGUAAAUAACUAAAAGAUGUUCUACAGUAUGUAACUUUAUUUUUUAAAAUAAAUAAUUAUGAUAGGUGCCCUUUUUUCGCUUGAGCACCUGUCGCCCAAAAUGUCUGUGCACGACCCUGAGUUUGUUCAUAAAAAUUUUUAAGGGUGCCAAUAAUUGACACACAUGGUUUUGUUAAUAAUAUAUUCUUAGAAUGAAUUUAACUUAAUUACAGGUCAGAUUUCACUCAGUGAGAUUUGCAGUGAGAGAUUACAUUUUUAAUAACCUUAGGGUGCCAGUAAUUCUGCAUCUCACUGUGUUAAAAGACAGAAUGAUGUGCUUACUCAAAUCUUUGUGUCAGCUGCUAUUUGGCACAGUCAUGAAAGAUUUUUUCCCAACUUCACAAUUUAAGGACUAAAAUAAAAGUGAAAGCAGAAAAUGAAUUUACAGUCAAGUGAAAAUGUUCUGGAUUCAUAAACGAUGGUGUAAAAGAAGUAUAAUACUGAUGAUGCCACAUACACUGCACAUGCUCUCAAUAAGAAAAUAUCACAAAGCACACAGUUUCUGUUGAUCUAACAUAAAUAUGCAUAUUAAUGACCUAUAUAUUGCCACCUUCCAGCUUUCAAGACAAGCCAAUCAGCUGAUUUUAUUAAAAGAAUGGUACAUUAAAAAUGAAUUAAGACAUGGACAUUUUCAGCAACAAUGGCUUGGAAAAAAAACACAUCUACAUUUCUAGUAAUGUAUGAAAAACAUGUUCUGUUGAAACUGCUAGUUUUCACUUGUUAGUGAAGAAUAAUACUGAAUAACGCUUCUUACUCGCACCACACAUGCAUAGCUUUUAAAUAUCCAUGUCUGUUUGAACAAUAUGCGUGGUAAACAAGGAUCACACAAAAGGAUCUAUAUACUGUAUGUAUCCACUGCUGGAAAACUGUAAAUAAAACUAAACUACAGCAACACUGUGAACAAGGUGGAGGUUGGGAAUUAUGAUGCAUUCACACUGGCAGCAAGUUUUUAUCGUCAAGUUGCUCUAUGUUGGUUGCUAGUAGGUGCUGCUAACUUUUUUGCAAGUUCAAGUUUUUUUCAAACAAAUUUUACAAUGGUUUCCCUGACAACAUCUGGCAAACACGAUUUGGUAGCACAAACUACGAAACUGGCUAUGGAACAAGCCUGCUAAACACGAGAUGUGUGGCCCCUUUUUAGUAAAAAAAUCAUUAUAUAAUUAUUUAUUAUAUACAAAAAAUGCUGUUCAGCUACCUGUUAAUAAUGGGGCUAGUGGGAAUUAUCCCUUGCAUCAUUUCUUCUUAAAGAGAGUGAUGCAGCAGUGCUUUAUUCUGUCCAGCUUUCACCUCUUCAUCUGUACACUCUGUUCAUACAGAUCAGCUUCUAGAGCUUCAACACUCAUGCUCCUAGCUCCGUCGAUGCCGUCGUGCUGAUAGCUGAUUUGAAUCUCUGCUGUAACUCAGUGUCAUAUAGUCGCAUUGCAUUCAUUAUAGCCAGAAAAUGAUGAGAAAAGAAACACUUCUGUUUGAAGGAACCUGAUCGGUAUCCCAUACGUUUGAGAUCGCGAAACACUUUUCUCCUGACACACCAUCGUAAUUGUGCUAUCGAUAUCCCGUGACAUCAGAGUGUGACUGCUAACUUCUCACAGGAAUAACAAAAAUAAGCAAAUAUAAAACAAAAAUAUAAAAAUUCUUUUUUUAGCUCCAUUUAAUCUCUGAUCGACUUUUUUCAUGUGCAUCACCCUGCUCACUUUGCACUGCAGUCGGUUCACCUCCUGUCACGGUAAAUCAUCAGCGCUCAGUGUAAAUGAAUGACUUCAAGCUGCUUUGUCAUGUUGCCUCACUGCCAGUGUGAAUGCAGGGUUAACAUUAAAUUAGAGUCUUAAAUCAGCAGCAGUAAAGCAGGCACUAAGUGCAAUUUCAAACUUCAAGACCUUUUUGCAGCUACAAGCAAGCCACAAUAUUUUUGUCUCACCGUGUGUGUGAAAACAAAAGCAUCAUGGAAAUGUGCCGGUCAUCAUGCACUGCAUCUGAUAUAAAACAAGCUUGCUAGUUAAACACAGGGGGGUUUUUUGGGGUUUGUUUUUUUUUUUGUAAAGCUCCUGGCCUGUAGAAAAGCUCAGAGUCUGAAGCAGAUUACUGAAACUAAGGGACGGUAACUGGCUUCUGUUGAGGAAAUGUGCUUAAAGUUCCUGAAAAAGUUCCUGCAAAGGAAGCGAGUCUCUUUAAAUCCAGGGCUUAGUCCUUAUACCCAAACAAUGCUGAUUAACACUGUGGCUCAUUAUUGUUGGACUGGGUGAUGCUGAGCUGUGCGAAUGAGCUCGUUGGUAGAUCAUCUGGACUCUCAAGCUCCGGAGGCUCACUCUCGGGCAAUGCAGGAGGUUCGUUGUCUGAACCUGAUUGAUUCUGGACCUCUGCUGUGGGAGGGGUUAUUUCAGGAUCCUCAUUAUUGAUUGGGGAGUGUGGCUGUUCUUCAGUCCCGCCUCCUUCCUCCUCCAGCUCAGAGUCAGAAUCCAGACUAUGCUCCAGGGACCCCAGUGUGCCUGUGGAGCCUUCUAAUGGAAAACAGAACAGGGAGAAAACACCUCAAUAAAUGAACAUUGAGGAUUUGCUACAAUGUGAAAUUCAGUAGUCCUAAAAUACCCCACCUAGUUCUUCAUUUAUCUUGUCUGCCUCGGUUCCUCCAUGUUCUUCAGUGCGAUCUGCUUCAUCAUCAUUUGUACCCGAGUCCUCCCCAUCAAUACUGCUUUCCU